rnacentral:rRNA from 1 species
UACGUAGGGUGCGAGCGUUGUCCGGAAUUAUUGGGCGUAAAGGGCUCGUAGGCGGUCUGUCACGUCGGGAGUGAAAACUCGGGGCUCAACCCCGAGCCUGCUUCCGAUACGGGCAGACUAGAGGUAUGCAGGGGAGAAUGGAAUUCCUGGUGUAGCGGUGAAAUGCGCAGAUAUCAGGAGGAACACCGGUGGCGAAGGCGGCUCACUGGUCCGGUACUGACGCUGAGGUGCGAAAGCGUGGGGAGCAAACAGG